UUUUAGGCACAAAAAAAAACAAAAAAGCUUUUUGCCUUGAGCCAUGUCACCGCGUCCCUAAUGCAGAACUGAAGGGAAAGCUUAGAUGUUUUUGGUUAAAAAUCGAGAUUUCAUACAAAAUUGAGAAAUCUUGGCUUCAAGAAACCAAUAUUUGUAGCAGUUGACUUUCGUUCGGAGGAGUAAGUUUCAAUAGUUUAUGAUUGGCUACUUCCGGCUCCAUAAUUUCAAGGUUCGUUAAAUGAAUCCUUUCUGUAUUAAGAAAGAUCUCAUUCAGCCGUUUGCUAUCUUUUGUUUGUUCGCAAGAUUAGGUGUUUUUAUGAAUACCACCUUUAUCAAGUUGGUCGACAUUGACCGGAUUUUCAUCUUUCGUUAGCUCACGAGGCGGAUUAGGUCCUGCAUGAUCUCUACCUUUUCUACUAAAUAGGUUUGAUUUCUGUAGCACAAAAGGAUUCUUUCUUGAGUCAGAGGAUUAUUAGGGCCUAGUCUAAGACACUUAGUCAUUAAGCAGUGAUAUUGUCCAGCCCCCAAAUUUAAGUCAAUGGGUUCAGGUUGCCGAAAGUCUAGAUCUGCUUACUUCAGUUCCUCGGGGAUGAAAAGAUUGUAAUCGGUACUGAGGGUUGCUUUGUAAUGAAGUUGGUAACAAUAAAUACUUCUACUAGUGUUUCAAAACUAGAUGUACACGACGAAAGCUUUAGUAUUGCCAUCCUCCUUGAGAUAAGACUCACCUGUGAUCCGGAAUCUACUAUUACAGCGCGUCAUGUUUGUAAUAAACCGGUUGUCCCCUAUAAUGAACUGAACGGCGCAAAGAGAGAGCAAAGUGAGCGGCUAUUGCUUAAUUAACAAUUUAAGCAACUUCUUCUUUUUGUCUCCCCCUCUUUCUCUCCAGUAAACUACCAAUUUCAAUUAUCUAAUGCCGAUUAGGUUAAUCUAACAAAAUCACCUCUUAGCGACGUAAAAAUCUAGGGACGAUCCCACCUUCAACAAACAAAAGUUCUGAUAUCAACUUUUACUGAGUCACUGAGUUGUUUAAUUUUGAAGAUAGCCAUUGCUUUACUGUCAACCAAUUCGAAUAAUUUUACUAAUAUGGCUGAUACAGUGCUAUUUAUUUUAGUCCGCUUUUUUUUGCCAUUUACAUUAAUAAUUGUGUCAUUGGUGCGACCGGUUGGAAUAUCUUUUUUUUAUCUUAUGUUGUUUUUUGUGUCACCUUGGCUUCUGCAAACCAAGAGCUUAAGGCAACAAGCUUUAUUAAACGCAUUUAUGAUUUUUCUUUGUGUUAUAGGUACACUUUGCCUAAUCGGCCACCUUUUAAUUAAUUUGAUAAAUUUAUUUUUUAUUGACUUAAGCUCCAAAAAGUCAAUUACGAUUAUCUUACGACAAAUUGGGUUCUUGUAUUUUAAUGGACUGAGGUAACAUUUUAAUCCAUUUCCUAUUUUAAAAAUAACCGUAUAUUUUAGUUUUGGUUCUAUUGCGCACUGGAUACUUCCUGAUAUUUUUGUUCUUUUGGAAACAAUCGUCUAUUUCAUUUAUUCUAAGGUAUACAAUAAAAGACAAAAGAAACUUUUUUUGGAUGAUAGCUAUGCUAUCAGUAAGGAAAGUAAGGAGCUAAGAGGUGUAUUGAAAAUUUCUGAAAUGAAUCGGCAGUUAAUCAUUGUGUAUAUUCAAUCCGUUUUAAAGACAUGUGAGCUUGAAAUAUCAAAAAAAAAACAACAUAUGUAUUAUUUUGAUCUACAGCACCUUUUUUUACCCUUAUUGUGAUUUACUUUGCUGCAACUUUAAGACCAUCAUUGCCUGGAAGCCUAUAUUUCUUAAUGUUCAUCAUAGCUGGCACUUAUUGGGCGCUUUAUCGCCAACUGCACCGGGGUAUGUACUAUCCUCUGAUUUUUAUGAUUGUUGCACUUUUGGUACAUGUAACAUGUUUAUUUGCUUUUCAACUAUCAGUCCUGCAACAAUCAGAUAAUUAUAAUACAAUAUGGACCAGGCAUUGUUCGGCUUAUUCACUGGAGCAAUUCUAUCUCAGACUAUAGGAUUCUACUAUCAAAACCGAUAGGUCAGCUGCUGUAAAAAAAGGAUCAAGUAUAAAAACUAAAAAAAAAAUUAGCUUACGAAUAAAAACUUGUCCUUGCAGACAAUUUAGUGCUGUAAGCUAAUAAGAAAAUCAAAACUAAUACAUUAGUGUCUUAAUUAAUCUGUUGCGACCAAUAACGAUGCUACUUAUAAAUAGUGACAAAACUUUAUGAGCAUAAAAAAAAAACUCCACCGAUACAAUACAACUAAAAACACCUACAAGCUUUUUCAGCACCAAUAUAUUUUAAAGUCAUAAUAAAAGUGUCGGAUUUUACGGCAAAACACUAUUAUCAGCCGCCAAUUUUAAACCUAUUUAUAAGUUAAUUUUAAAAUCUUCGAACAAGAAAAUCAGCUACUAAAAUUAUUUGAGCUAUAAUGUUUAAAGUUGACGUUUAAAGGUUAAAGUGACCUUGCCUUUCGUUCAAAAAAAGUCCAAGUCUUUCAUUCUAAGCCUUUAAUAAAUACAUUAGUACAAUAGUGCCAACUGGCCUGAUUAGCGAGUCUUGAGAUUUCCCUGCCGACGCUCUGCUUACACCGACACUGCAAACGAUCGUGCGCCUUCGGUAUGGGACCUCGGAAUACACACCCAUCUACAAGUCUUAUAUUUCUUUUUAUUUGUGUGAGCACCACUGCUCUAAUGAAUGAGGUGAAUAAUGCCGUGCAAUAACCG